rnacentral:lncRNA from 1 species
GGAUAGGAUAGGAUAGGAUAGGAUAGGAUAGGAUAGGAUAGGAAUAGAAAUAGAAAUAUUUUUUCUUCACUAGCUCUUCCUAAACCAACUCAGCUGGGAUCUCAGAGGUACCCAUACUGGAAGGGAGGUGGCAGAUGGAGGCACAGAAUGGCUCCUUCCAAAAUCAGUGUGACACUGGGUUGUGUGUUGCAUGGAUACAGCAGAAGUAGUCUGGACUUUCUUAGAAUUAUGGAAUCAUAGAAUCAUUACUGUUGGAAAAGACCUCUAAGAUUAUCCAGUCCAACCAUGCGACCCAUCCCCACCAUGCUCACUAAGCAAUGUCCGUCAGUGCCACAUCUACACAGUUCUUGAUCACCUCUGGGAAUGAUGAACCCACCACUUCCCUGGGCAGCCUAUGCCAGUGCAUCACCACUCCUUCAGGGGAUAAAAAAAUUCCUGAUAUCCAACCUCAACCUCCCCUGGUGCAACCUGAGGCCAUUACCUCUCAUCUAAUCAAUCAAUCAACCAAAGGCAUCCCUCCUUUUCACCUUCACAGACCUGACAGCAGGCUGUUGCAAAAAGAUGAUCCUGCCUGCGUGACCCGUGAGCGUGUUCUCUGCUGAACCUGGUACCCAUCUGACUCCAACCAGCUGGUCAAUCCGCUGGAAAAAUUACACUUCAGAAAAUAAUGAGUUUUCCAUUGGCCAGAGCUGAAUUGAUCCACCUUGUGACCACACAGCUGCAGGAUCGAGGCAAGCAGCAACCUGCGAGUGAGGGAAAGCAGAAGUACUCCUUUCAGCAGCCAUCUGUCAUUAAAGAGCUCUGUUGCAUCCCGUGCGUGCGACUUUGCGAGCAGUGCAAAGCACUGAGCCAGGUCCUGCUGGAAGGGCAGGGUCUGUGCAGCCACAUGCUGCUGCCACCUCCUUCCUGCUUGUACCAACGGGCACUGGCCAUAGCGUGAGCCAAAGCAGGGAACUAAUCCCUCUGAAAGGUAACUGUAAAGCAUUUUCAGCCAUUUUACCUGCCUGCUAUGGCCCAUCACACGAGACCUAUUGCUGAUAUAAAAGACAGAAACAGGGCAGGAGUGUACUCUUCAGUGUCAGACCUAACUUGGAUGAUGUGUUCCUUAGACACCGCAAGCCUCGUGAGAUUAUGCCAUAAGCAUGUUUUAGCUGAGGCUGUGCUGCACAAUCAGUUACGAGGAACACGAAGAGCUGUUCUGUGCAAUGCCUCGUGUCCCAAACAUUUCUAUUAUUUCCUUCGACUUGUGCUCUCCAACUGCCCUGCAAUGUGUUUUUGACAGCUGUGUUGCCUGGCAGCCACUCUGUCACAGCUCAGGAUGCAAUUAUGAAGAGAGAUGUAUCUGCACCUAAAAGAAUAAUGGAUCCUUCGUGUGUAGGAUUUACGAAAGGCCCAUGGUCUUUGGCUGAGUCUUUAGACACUGCUACAGUGCAAAUAACAAUAAGGAGAAGAGGAGAAGAGACCAAAACCAGGUCUGGCCAUGAAGUAUUUGACAAAAUAGAGUUUCAUUUGAAAAAAAAAUAAAUAAAUAAGAAAAACAAAGCCAGUAUGUUGUACACAAAAUGUUGUUCUCAAAGUACCUUGAUUUCAGCGAACUCUUGCUGAAUCUAGAGCAGGUCACUGGGAGAGCUGGCCUGCAUCAGGCUCAGCAGGCUUGGUCCCAGAUAACUACAGAUUUCCAGCCCCUCGCUGACAUCAGCAGUAGCACAAAAGGAAUUUCAGUUCCAUCUGCAGGCGCACUGGAAAUUCCAGUUCUCCAGAAGGCUGAAACACUUAAUUUGGUGGAACAUACACCAAAAUCAAGGACAUAUGCUCUACAGUGCUUCUACUUGGAAGUCUGGGUUUGGAUAUACCUCCUAGAGUCAGGCCCAAACAGAGUUUUGUUCUCUCACUUUCAAAACACUUCAUAUAAAUAUAGGACCGUGUAUGUUUAAAUCAAUACAGGAUGGACUCUGGAGAGCUAAGCAAAUCUACUGAAGCUUAACAGAUGCAGGGCCUGAGAGUGUCUGAUUUUUUUUGGGGGGGGGGGG